UUGUCGUCAGCUCGUGUCGUGUAGAUGUGGUUAAGUCCCGCAACGAGCGCAACCCUAUUGUUAGUUGCCAUCAUUCAGUUGGGCACUCUAGCGAGACUGCCGGUAAUAAACCGGAGGAAGGUGGGGAUGACGUCAAAUCAUCAUGCCCCUUAUGACCUGGGCUACACACGUGCUACAAUGGUUGGUACAACGAGUUGCGAGUCGGUGACGGCGAGCUAAUCUCUUAAAGCCAAUCUCAGUUCGGAUUGUAGGCUGCAACUCGCCUACAUGAAGUCGGAAUCGCUAGUAAUCGCGGAUCAGCACGCCGCGGUGAAUACGUUCCCGGGCCUU
rnacentral:rRNA from 1 species